rnacentral:tmRNA from 1 species
GGGGGCGUCACGGCUUCGACGUAAUAUUAGAUGUUUUGAGAGCAUGUCGAGUUUUGUAUGUGAACUUGUAAAAAACAUUCAAUCAAAUAAGUGCAGACGCUAAUGUCGAUUAUGCCUAAUUAUAGUUAUUAGGUAUCUUGUUAGGAAAGCUUGUCUGUCGGCUGAACUAACUCGUAUUAAAACCCAGAUAGAACUUGCUAGUAAGAUUUUUUGUUUUUGUAGCUAAGCAAAAAUUACUAAACCGACUUUUAUUAAUAACUUUGCUUUUGAGGGUUAAUAAAAGUAGAUUCAAAAGCUAAACAUGUAGCGCUUGAAAUUGAUAAUAUGACGGACAUGGGUUCGACUCCCAUCGCCUCCACCA